UGUGUGAGAAGAGGCCAAUGU
rnacentral:miRNA from 1 species